AAAGCUCAAGUUGAGAAUCGAGCCUCCAAGCGGAGGUGUCGAGAUGUAGAGUUUCGACGUGUAGUCAGCGCGUGACCUGUUGGCAAGUCUCUUGAAACAGAGCAUCAGGGAGGGUGAGAGUCCCGUCCACGACAACGGAGUUCGCCGCGUACGACACAUGUUCACCGAGUCGAGUUGUUUGGGAUUGCAGCUCUAAUUGGGUGG
rnacentral:rRNA from 1 species